AAUAAAUACACACAAGAUUACAAAAAAGAAGUAAGACAAAAUUCCCUAUUAAGUCCCUUGAGCCAUAAGGUGUUUAAUGUGUGGAGCCCCUUCUUUUUAAGCAAACCUUGACGGUUGCCACCUCUCCUGAGUGGGGGCACAUGGUCAAUAACCUGAAAUAUUGUGACUAUGUUCCAUGAAGGUCAUUCAUUUUGUCUAGUUCUAAUAGUUG